rnacentral:tRNA from 2 species
GCCCGAGUGGUGAAAUCGGUAGACACAAGGGAUUUAAAAUCCCUCGGAACUUAUACUUCCGUGCCAGUUCGAUUCUGGCCUCGGGCACCA